CCCCUAGAUGUUCUGGGCCGCACGCGCGCUACACUGAACAGUUCAACAAGUCUUAACCUUGGCCGAUAGGCCUGGGUAAUCUUUGAACGCUGUUCGUGAUUGGGAUAGACCUUUGCAAUUAUGGGUCUUCAACGAGGAAUUCCUAGUAAACGCAAGUCAUCAGCUUGCAUUGAUUACGUCCCUGCCCUUUGUACACACCGCCCGUCGCACCUACCGAUUGAAUGGUCCGGUGAAAUCUCGGGACGGCGGCUUGGUCGCUUGCGUCCGACUGCUGAAACUUGAUUAAACCAUAUCAUUUAGAGGAAGGUGAANUCGUANCA
rnacentral:rRNA from 1 species